rnacentral:rRNA from 1 species
CUACGGGUGGCUGCCGUGAGGAAUAUUGCACAAUGGGGGGAACCCUGAUGCAGCAACGCCGCGUGUAGGAUGACGCAUUUCGGUGUGUAAACUCCUUUUAUAUGUCAAGAAAAUGACGGUAGCAUAUGAAUAAGCGCCGGCUAACUCCGUGCCAGCAGCCGCGGUAAUACGGAGGGCGCAAGCGUUACUCGGAAUCACUGGGCGUAAAGGACGCGUAGGCGGGUUGGAAAGUCAGGUGUGAAAUCCUACAGCUUAACUGUAGAACUGCACUUGAAACUUCUAAUCUAGAGUAUGGGAGGGGGAGAUGGAAUUAGUGGUGUAGGGGUAAAAUCCGUAGAUAUCACUAGGAAUACCUAAAGCGAAGGCGAUCUCCUGGAACAUUACUGACGCUAAGGCGUGAAAGCGUGGGGAGCAAACAGGAUUAGAUACCCGCGUAGUC